AUCAUCGUUUCAGAAGAAAAUUGCUUUGAUCUUUAUUUGCAUUCCUGUUAGUCCUGGUAAUAGCAGACUGAUUUGGUGCUCUCCAAGAAAUUUCGGACUGUGGAUUGACAAAAUUGUACCGCGAUGGAUUUUUCAUCUGAGACAAAACUUGAUUAUAGAUUCAGAUUUAUAUCUUCUACAUGUUGAGGUAAUUCCUUUUAUAAUAUACAAAUCACUUGUCGUGUUGGAAAACAAUUUAGAAGUCUUAUUCAUCAAGUAAUGUUACUAAAUUAAUUUUGAUAGGAAAAGAAAAUAAUGGAUGUUGGUCAAGAAAAUUGGCAUAAGGCCUGUUUUGUGCCAACAAAAUCAGAUGCUCUUGUGAUUGGUUUUAGGAAGUGGUUGAAGAAGUAUGCAGGUGGUCAAGUUGAUUGGAGAGGAAAAUAUAGCGGCGCUCUUCCUCCUACACCUCCUAGAGAACAACUUUUGGACCGGUAAAUCACAUAAGAUUGUGUUUGACACAUUGAAGUUUCAGUUUAGUUAUAUUUUCAUAUGUCAAGUUUCAGUUUAAGUAUGGUUAUCAGUGUUCACCAGUACAUGCAAAUCAUAUCUUGCUUUGACACAAAACUUAACCUAAUCGAUAUGAAUCUCUAGUGUGUAUUUUGAACAUGUUCUUGAUUACAAAUUAUCAAAUUUGAACAGGUACUGGAGCCAUGUGGUGAAUUGCAGAAGUUGCAGUUUGGCCUAUAAGAGCCUCAAUGUGGUGGAAGUGGCGCUGCAGAUCAUAUCAGUUGCUGCAAUUGGGAUUUUUGCCGCAAUGAAGCAGGGUGCAGUUUCAGCUGUAACAAGAAAUUCAAUGGUUCUGAUGGCGGUACUUUCAUUUGCAUUGUCGCUGUUGUUAGCUCACUUCAUAUACAAAUACUUCCGAUAUCAUGACUACGAACAUGCCUUUCACUGAAAUGUGUUUCCUUAGUUAUUGAUGUGAUGAAAUAUCCAACAUUGUUGUGUGUGUGUAGUCAAGUUGUACUAAAACAUAGCUAGUAAUUAUUGGUAUCUAACAUAUUGCUAUAAAAACUGUUAUCCUUCUGUUAUGGAACCUGUGAAGGGAUGUAUGUUGACACUUUCUUAGUGACUCAAAUUCUUAUAUUCUUUGUUGGAUGAGGGCAGUUUUAGUCCUACCAGUACCUUUACUAAAUUUUACAAUUCUUGUCCUACAAGAAAAGAUUCACGCAGUUUUAGUCCCUUCUAAAAUCAAAUUUAGAAUUUUAUAGCAUGACAUGACAUGAGAUUAAAAUAAAUAUGAAUUUUUUAAAAGUCAAAAAGUUCAACUAAAAAAUGUGUCAAAAAAAAGUUCAACUAAAAAUAAUGAAUAUCUGUACUAAAAAUCAAAUUUUGAGUUUUUUUUUUUGUGAAUAAACAUUUUUUUUUUUGACAAGAGAAAACUUAAUUCAUAUCAUUGAUCAAAAUGUUCUCAAUACAACGAAGAAUCGACUCAAAAAUAUAGUGACCAGACAUGGAAUAUGCCGCUCGUGCUAAGGCGUGGGCGGCCAUAUUCGCUUGUCGCUUUACAAAUUUAACCUCAAAGUUGGACUUUGAUAAUAAUAAAGACUUAAUGCUAGAAAUCAACAACUAAACUCAGAUAUUCCUAUUUGGCUAGAAUCAUAUUUGCCGCUUUUUCUGAAAAUAAAGAAUUUAUCUUUUCAACAUCCCAUUGUUUUGAGUUAGGAGUCAUAAGUUGUUGAAUAGAUAAAUUGUACACACCAUAGUGGAGAGAUUAAAUGCUUAUAAUAUGAACUUAAUUGAGUAGCUAUAAUAUGAUCCUCUACAUCACGGCGGCCAGUUUUAUAAUGGUGUUAUAUCAUAUAAUUUUUUUGCAGAAAUCAUCGUUUCAGAAGAAAUUUGCUUUGAUCUUUAUUUGCAUUCCUGUUAGUCCUGGUAAUAGCAGACUGAUUUUGUGCUCUCCAAGAAAUUUCGGACUGUGAAUUGACAAAAUUGUACCGCGAUGGAUGUUUCAUCUGAGACUAAACUUGAUUCUAGAUUCAGAUUUAUAUCUUCUCCAUGUUGAGGUAAUUCCAUUUAUAAUUUACGAAUCAUUGUUGGAGAACAAUGUAGAAGUUUGAUUCAUCAAUUAAUGUUACAAUAUUAAUUUUGAUAGGAAAAAAAAAAUAAUGGAUGUUGGUCAAGAAAAUUGGCAUAAGGCCUGUUUUGUGCCAACAAAAGCAGAUGCUCUUGUGAUUGGUUUUAGAAAGUGGUUGAAGAAGUAUGCAGGUGGUCAAGUUGAUUGGAGAGGAAAAUAUAGCGGCGCUCUUCCUCCUACACCUCCUAGAGAACAGCUUUUGGACAGGUAACCUAAUCGAUAUGAAUCUCAAGUGUGUAUAUAUAUUGAACAUGAAUCUCAUCUUGAAUCCCAGUUCAUUAUGAUGAAUCUCGUUUUAUUAAUGACAAGAAUUUAUUGAGGUUCAUAUAUGAUAUAUCAACUUAAACUUUUGUUAUGUA
rnacentral:lncRNA from 1 species